CGGCUGCACCCGGACAGACAAUCUGCAACCUCUGUCUCUGGGCAGUCACCAGACAACCCCCUGAAAACUCUCCUCUCCAAACACAGGGACAAUGAGACUUUGGUUGUAUCUCGUUCUCAUUGCAGCAGCGUUUGAAGGUGUCCGGUCCCAGGUGCAGCUGGUGGAGUCCGGAGGGGAUGUGAAAAAGCCCAGAGAGACUCUCCGCCUCUCCUGCAAAGCCUCCGGCUUCACCUUCAGCAGCUACUGGAUGGGCUGGGUCCGUCAGGCUCCCGGGAAGGGACUGGAGUGGCUCACCUGGAUUCACGGCUCUAGCAUAUACUACAGUGACUCCAUAAAAGGGCGAUUCACCAUCUCCAGAGAUGACCCCAACAGCCUGCUGUACCUGCAAAUGACCGGCCUGAAGCCCGAGGACACUGCCCGAUAUUACUGUGCGAGAGACACAGUGCAGGGAAUCCAGAUACUGCUUAUACAAAAACUCAAGCUGCAGAAUCUUCUUUCUGCCAUACGCCGCGUGGGGGCAGCACUUCCACAAACCAUCCAGCCCUGGGCCCAGGAACGGGAUCUAGAACCAGAGCGAAAAAACCUCUCUCGUCAGGUUUGAGAUCUCUGUAUUCAUAUACGAUCACGUGUCCAUAAAAACUGCAACAACUUAACUAUCACAUGCUUACACUGACGCUAAUCAGAGACUGAAGUAAAACUGCAGACUGCACAAGAGAAAUAUUUGGGGGACCAAUUGUUCAGUGUGAGAAUCAGAACUUGGGCUUCCAAAGCUGCCUAAAAGUGAUGACUGUGCAAAUGCUUUUGUUGUUUGUUGGGGGAUGGGUAGAAUUGCUCUCAAAUCCCUCUGAAAAACAAUAAGAUGCCAGUGUCGAUCUAACACACACUUCAAAGGGUACAUCA